ACACUGCUGACGAGUCUCAAACAAGACGAAACAGCUGUCCAGUGC
rnacentral:hammerhead_ribozyme from 1 species